AGGAAAAUUAAAACUCAAUCAAUCAUGAGUCUUUAGACAUAGUUUCGUUAACAUAACGAGCAAAUGGAGAACAAUGAACAGAGAAGGUAGAGAAACACAAGACGGGUAAUUUACCUACAAGUUGCUCUCAAGUUUCGCUAGUAGCUAUUUACCAAGGCGAUGCGCGCACGAUAAGCAGCAGCAAUCGGCGUGGUUUGGAGCUAUGUUGGGUUUCAGAGAGUUUGGGGACGACUGACGAGAGGUCGACCAGGGCAGGAGAAUGGAGAUAGGGGCUGUUUGGAUCAGUGGAAAAAAUGACAUGGGCUUGGUGGAAUUUUACUGGGCUUAGUUAUUGGUUUAGGCACACAUGUUUGGCCAUAGCUAUUUAAUGAAAAC
rnacentral:lncRNA from 1 species